rnacentral:lncRNA from 1 species
UUCGGAUUUAUUCAGCAUCCUGUGAAGUAACACCACAGGAAAUAUACCAUCCUAUCACAGCAUUGAAGAUAGGACUGACAAGAACGAUUAUGUGUGAAGAGCCUAUGGAAAAACCUGACCAAACUAUUCAUAAAAUAGUAGAAUUUUUACAGAACAAAAAAGCUAUUAUGAUCAAAGUUAUUAUUCAAGAGUUAAUAAAC